UCCUUAUAAUUUUGUCUUUAUUUUCUUGGUUUAAAAAAAAUUGUUAUUAAUAACAAAGUAUAUUUAAAAUUUCUCACAAGAAGAAAUAUUUGGUUAUUUGCCACCUAUGGUCUCUUUACACUGCUGAUGUAUUUUAAUUUAGAAUUAGAUUGGAGAGGGUUAAAUUAGGCUGAGUUAUAAUCAAUUUUACGGUUCUGUUACAUGGCAAUUGAAUGGAAUAAAGAAUUUAGCUAGUAGUUAUCCUGACCUUAGGUUAAAACUUUCUAAAAUCAGGAAUUAUCUUCUGGUUCUAUAAGAAUAGUGUAUAUUCUUUAGCUAAAUUUUUAUGUUAUUUUUGAACCAAACCAUUGUCAGGUUCCCAAGUCAGUCAGAGAGAGUAUCACAUCCUCCUGAAGCACAGCCAUACAUUUAUAUCAGUGAGCACUUUAUCUUCCUUGAAGCUUUUAUAUAUCACUUCUUUAUACUAAACAGAAUGAAUCAAAAGUAGUAUAGUGGAAGGUUAGCGCAGGUCUAUCAGAAUGUAGCUGAUCGUGCUUGAAAUCUUAGGUCAAAGGAAGAUACUUUCAAGUCUGUACCAUUUUUUAUAUAGGCUUUUGCUAGAAACAGUCUGAGAGUUCGGUAGCUACUGGUGAAGACCUCACUACAUAUAAACGAUGCAGUGUGUUGGCUUCAGCUUCUGGAGGGAGUUCACUUGUCUGGCAGGCUUGCUCAUGUUUAAAGAAGCAUGUAUCUACUUCCAAUGCCUCCUUUCUGCUGUGUAUUGGUUUUGCAUCCAAAGCAGAUAGCAAAGAGGAAGAGGAUGCUUGUGGUUCACAGCCAAAGGGGCUGCAGAAGACGGACCUGUACCACCUUCAGAAGUCCUUACUGGAAAUGAAAGAGCUAAGGAGAACAACUAAGAAGCCAACCAAGUUUGAAAUGCUCAGAGAAAAUGUUAU
rnacentral:lncRNA from 1 species